rnacentral:rRNA from 1 species
UACGUAGGGACCAAGCGUUGUUCGGAAUUACUGGGCGUAAAGGGCGCGUAGGCGGCCUGUUAAGUCGAACGUGAAAUCCCUGGGCUCAACCCAGGAACUGCGUCCGAUACUGGCAGGCUUGAAUUCGGGAGAGGGAUGUGGAAUUCCACGUGUAGCGGUGAAAUGCGUAGAGAUGUGGAGGAACACCAGUGGCGAAGGCGGCUUUCUGGUCUGUAACUGACGCUGAGGCGCGAAAGCGUGGGGAGCAAACAGG